rnacentral:lncRNA from 1 species
GCUAUAUCCCCAACAUGCCUCUGGAGGACAAUACCCUCCGAGAAGUCUGGGCCUCUGAAAGUGAGCUGGAGGAGGAACCCGCGAGCCCUGAACUACAGACGCGCCCCAAACAGCGUCUCGCCGCAGGGCAGAAGCCAAAGAAGAAGCGGCCCGAACCCCAGGAGUGCUCCAGCCCCGCCGAAGCCAAACCCCGGAGAAGAGCAACCGCAGGGCGUGG